rnacentral:lncRNA from 1 species
CUAAAUCUGCAUCUUGUUUACUGUACUUGUGUGGCAAUCACCCAUGAUCGACUCCCCCUCCACCCCCAACAUCCUCCUUUGUCUUUAGCUGAAGAUGAUAUUUAAGGUGGUGGCUUCAGCUAUUUUGGCAAGUUGCUCAGGUUGCCUGAGCCUCUCCCAUGUAUACAUGUUAUAAAGCUUUGUUUAAUUUUCUCCUGUUGUUCUGUCUCAUGUGAAUUUAGUUCAUUCUCCAGCCAGAAGAACCCAGAGAGGGUAAAGGAAAUGUCUUCCUACCCUACAGGUUCCUUUGUGGUAAUUCACAGGAAGGCAGGAAGAUUACAGAUAAGACAGAAUAUCAAUAGCUCCUUCCUGACACAAAACCAAAGGAAUUGCAAUAUGGAAGCUGGUGAUUUCGGUGAGGAGAGCAGGAAGGUAAGUGUAAGCUAAGAAUUUGUUAACCUCCCAGUGACCCUCCUCCUUCUCCUACCUCUCCACACUGCAGAACUUGCAGUAAUCAUUAGCAGUGUUUGAGAAUUUUUCAAUAUUUCUAUUGUUUUGUUUGUUUUGCAUAGUUGGAGUAAUAUUAGACAGAUAUAUGCUUGUCUAACACAUAUUUUAAGUUAUAAAGGAAACCACUAGCAAGAGCUGACAAUCAGCCAUAUAAAACCAUUCUUAAGUUUGAGAAACCCGUUUCGCAGUCCUGAAAGCCUUUAAAGCAAACCAUAAAGAUAAAGGAACGUUUUAUAAAAUACUAUGCUGUAUUUGGUAAAAUUCAUGUUUCCUGUUGAUUUUCUGGAUUCAAAAUCAUAUCCAUGUUUUCCUUGGUUUUAUUCUAUACUCUCUAAUUCAUGUUUUCCAUAUCUUGCAAUAAAACAAUAACGUUCUCAUUCUCUAGAUCUGCC